rnacentral:rRNA from 2 species
UAAAAAGCUCGUAGUUGGAUCUGUGUCUCGGACGGUCGGUUCGCCGCUCGCGGUGUUUAACUGACCGGUCCGGACGUCCUGCCGGUGGGAGCCCGGUUCGCGCCGGGCGCCCGUAACUCCCUCCGCGCUGCUCUUAACCGAGUGGUUCGGUGGGCCGGCACGUUUACUUUGAACAAAUUUGAGUGCUUAAAGCAGGCCUUAUGUCGCCUGAAAACUGUGUGCAUGGAAUAAUGGAAUAGGGCCUCGGUUCUAUUUUGUUGGCUUUUUUCUGAACCCGAGGUAAUGAUUAAUAGGGACAGACGGGGGCAUUCGUAUUGCGACGUUAGAGGUGAAAUUCUUGGAUCGUCGCAAGACGGACUGAUGCGAAAGCGUUUGCCAAGAAUGUUUUCGCUAAUCAAGAACGAAAGUUAGAGGUUCGAAGGCGAUCAGAUACCGCCCUAGUUCUAACCAUAAACGAUGCCAGCCAGCGAUGCGCCGAAGUUCCUCCGAUGACUCGGCGCGCAGCUUCCGGGAAACCAAAGCUUUUGGGUUCCGGGG